AUUAUUAUUAAUUUUCCCCGAUUUCUCCACCGAUCACCGAUUGGUAAGGUCUGCAUUUAUGUUCACACAAGCUCUCUUUCUCUGUCAUUCGAAUCGAACCUUCACGCAAUAACCGUCGCGAAGUUCGCCGGAGAAUCGGGCUCGGCCACUGCUCUCCGAUGAACGCUUCAUAGGACACCAUGGCGGAGCACAGCAGCGCCACCGUCAAUGACGGCGAACCAGAACCGCGACAAAAUGAGGACCAUCACCACCUCAACAACAACGAAGGCGACAACGAGAAGAGUACAGAUCCAGAGCUAUUCUGCUGCUUGCUGCAGCCUGCCACCGCCGACUGCGAUCCCGAGUACAUCGGCAUUCGGCGCCUCCUCCUUUAUCGAAAGGCCGAGGCCGGAGUUCUCCACCGCAGAGAGUGGAGAUGCAAUGGAAAAACUUACGUGGCAUACCGGAAUUACAUAAGUCGACCAAGGGACUGGGAGAGUUCGCGUGCCCCAAGUCUGCAAAGUACUCCAGGAAACAGGAUAAUUUACUGGUUGAUGCAUCAGUGGCCGAUGGUUUCCAUCACCAAGUCCAUGCUCCCGUUGGUCUGAGGUUGACAGCAUUAGUUCUGGGCGGGAUCUGCAAAAUGCAAAUCCACUAUACAAUAAUAGAACGAGUUUUGGCUCAAGUGCAAGUGAAUCUGAUCGUCCUAGGCAUCGUGGCGCUGAGCCUGCCUAUUCUUUUGUUGGAAUGCAUUGUAUCUUUGAUCAGUGCAAAGCUUCUGUUACGGUGUUAAAGUUUGGACACAUGAGUUCUGAUCUACUUGCUUAUGGGGCAUCAGAUGGAACCUUGACUGUGUGCAGCGUUUCUGACAAACCUUCAGUCAUCAAACAAUUAAAUGGUCAUUCCAAAGAUGUCACAGAUUUUGAUUUUACGUCAAACAAUCAGUACAUUGCAUCGUCGUCUUUGGAUAAAACUGUGAGAGUAUGGGAGAUAGCAAAAGGCAUUUGCAUACGGGUGAUAUAUGGAGUUUCUUCACAGACAUGUAUCCGUUUUCACCCUGUAAGUAAUGGUGUCUGUUUUGUGUGUAGGUAUAACUAGCCAAUAACUAUGUGUGUUGCUAGCAUUUCUCCUCUUACUUUGUGAGUAUUUCAAUUUACCAGUUUCUCACUCUCUUUUAUCAAUCUUUCUCCCAAAAUUCCUAAGGGAGGCGAUAAAUUGACUUUCCUAGACUGAAGAUGGCUAAUUUUUUUAAGGGUGGUGCUGAAUCUUUCUCAUAGUAUGCAGAAAAAAAGAGACAUCCAGUGUGAUCUUGAACUUGGAUUUACCUGUAGUUCUCUCUCUCUCUCCCCUGUUUUCUUUUUUGUUGGCAAAAUUUGUUUCUUAAAAGGAUCGAAUGCUGACGCACAACCAAUACUUUAUACUGUGGUCCUGGUCCUGUUAACAAUUUUAAGACUUCCUUUAUACAUGUUGGUUUAUUUUAGGUUGCUUGUGUUUAAGGCUGUUAUAAAUAAACUAAGCUUGUGUGAAACAUAUGAUAAUAAGGGGGAAGGAGGCUGGGAAUUUGGUAUGUAGAAUUUUUCCUUCUUUGUCACAUCUGGUAAAACUUUAAUAUUCUUUUCUAUGGGAGAGGGAGAGUGUGGGAGAAGAAGAUGGGGGGAGGGGUUUGUCAAAUGGGAAAAACAAGAAAAAUUUGCAGAAAAUUUACUUCUCCACCUCAUCUAGUGAAACUUGAAUAUUCUUUUGCAACUUGUUUGAUUUUUCCAAAGAUAUGGCUUCCUAUAUCAUUGUGGGGAUUUUGAUAUUUUAUAUUGGUAAAUAAAUUUAGUCCUUUGCGUUCAUCCUUGGUUGCUACUAAGGGAAGACUGUAUUUCUUUUUUUUCUUUUUUUUUUCUUUUUUUUUUUUUUUUGUAUUUGGUGCAGGUAAAUAACAACUUCCUUUCAGUUGGCAAUGAAAACAAAGAAAUCAAUGUGUUCAAUUUUAGCACUGGAAGGAUAAUUAAUAAAUCAAUAUUUGACAGUGAAGUUACUGCAAUGGAUCAUGAUCAUACCGGACAUCUCAUAUUUUGUGGAGAUGCACAGGGAUGUAUAUACUCAGUAAAUAUGAACUCCCGCACAGGUGUAUUAUCUCGCUCUCAUCGCUAUCGAAGUAGCAGCAGACACAAAUCUCCAGUCACAACAGUGCAAUAUCGGAGUUUCUCUUUCUUGGCUCGAGGACCUGUGUUGUUGACAUGUACUCAGGAUGGAAGCCUGUCUUUCUUCAGUGUGGCUUUGGAGAUACAAGGUUAUUUAACUCUUCGAUGCUCACUCAAAUUAACUCCACGUAUACACAAAGUUCAAGCUUCUUUCUGCCCUCUUCUUUCCCUUGAAAAAGGAGAAUUCAUAGUUGCUGGAAGUGAGGACUCAAAUGUCUAUUUCUAUGAUUUAACACGGCCAAAACAUACAUGCGUAAACAAGCUUCAGGGUCAUCGGUUUCCAGUAGUGGGUAUUGCUUGGAACCAUGGAGAAAAUUUUUUGGCUUCAUCUGAUUUUUAUGGCAUAGUAAUUGUUUGGAAAAGAGAAAGAACAAAUCAAAACAAAAAUACAUAAUAGAAUUCUAAAGCGUAUACUUGACGGCUUGUGAAGAUUGCUUUCUUUACAAUUACAUUGCUUUCCUUUUUCUUUCGCUUUUACCGUUCUCCUUUUGUAUCUUUUGUGUUAUCAUUUUUUAAUUUUUUUAAUUUUUGCUGCAAUGUACUCUGUACCCAUGAAAUUAAUCAAUCAAUCAUCCCCAGCCUCUCGGGAAGCGGAAGAAAUUACGUUCAAAAAGUGUAUUGUGUUUUGCGAGGAGGAAAAUGUAUUCUUAGACAUGAUUAGGGAUUUUGUAUACGAAUUAUGAGAAAUGUAUUUUCUUUGGACGUUGUCCACCGUGUAAUUUUACACAAUCAAAGAAUAAGGCGUCUUUGUCUG